CCUACCCUUUGGAGCUCCCGGACCCGCUGACCACUCGGUGAGGUCAGAGCCCACCCCCGGAAGGGCCGCUUGUCGGGGACGGGUUCGCCCUCUCCUGGCCUCCCCGGACCAGCGCGCGGGGAGGAUCCCGGCAACGCCGGGCGGCUGCAGACCUUGAACGGCCUUAGCCUGGUGACCUCCCCGGGAAAGGCUGGGCGGUGCUUCCACCCUGAGGGCCACUUGUUAAUUUGCAAGAGAAAGUGCUGCCGAGGGUCCACACGUGCGAAUCCGCCUGUGGAGUGCGUCCCCUCCCUGGGGGCAAGGCCUAGGGGAGGCCAAAGGGGAGAAGUUGCCGGAAGACUGGGAAGUAAGGGCAGGGGCGUCGGAGGAAUCGAAGGUGCAGUGACGUCAGGCUCGGACACCCGGCGGACUCCUCUCAAGGUUUCUCUCCUACAAAGCCUGCUUGCUGCAGGAUACAAGAGUUCAGUCACUCCUUGGGAACUGUCUGCAGGCCUCAAACUUCUUCAUGGGAAAAAAAUGGCUUCUCCUUUUUUAAUUGAAUGAACUGGAAGAAGUUCAUUGUUAUUCAUCAACUUCAAAG
rnacentral:lncRNA from 1 species